rnacentral:rRNA from 1 species
AGCAGCCGCGGUAAUUCCAGCUCCAAUAGCGUAUAUUAAAGUUGUUGCAGUUAAAAAGCUCGUAGUUGAAUUUCGGGAUCAAUAUGUCGGUCGUGCCUUCGGUACGUACUGGCAUCAUUGGUUUCUCCCUUCUGACAAACCAUGAUGUCAUUAAUUUGGUGUUAUGGGGAGUUAGGACUGUUACUUUGAAAAAAUUAGAGUGUUUAAAGCAGGCAUUAGCUUGAAUACAUUAGCAUGGAAUAAUGAAAUAGGACGUUCGAUCCUAUUUUGUUGGUUUCUAGGAUCAACGUAAUGAUUAAUAGGGAUAGUUGGGGGCAUUAGUAUUCAAUUGUCAGAGGUGAAAUUCUUGGAUUUAUUGAAGACUAACUACUGCGAAAGCAUUUGCCAAGGAUGUUUUCAUUAAUCAAGAACGAAAGUUAGGGGAUCGAAGACGAUCAGAUACCGUCGUAGUCUUAACCAUAAACUAUGCCGACUAGGGAUCGGAUGAUGUUAAUUUUUAAUGACUCAUUCGGCGCCGUUG